rnacentral:rRNA from 1 species
GAUGUAGCAUUUCGUGAGCGGAGGACUCCCUCCCUUUGUUGCACAUACCUGGUGGCUGUUGCUUCGGCGGGUAGGGUCUCCGCGACCCUCCCGGCCUCCCGCCUCCGGGCGGGUCGGCGCCCGCCGGAGGAUAACCAAACUCUGAUUUAACGACGUUUCUUCUGAGUGGUACAAGCAAAUAAUCAAAACUUUUAACAACGGAUCUCUUGGUUCUGGCAUCGAUGAAGAACGCAGCGAAAUGCGAUAAGUAAUGUGAAUUGCAGAAUUCAGUGAAUCAUCGAAUCUUUGAACGCACAUUGCGCCCGCCAGCAUUCUGGCGGGCAUGCCUGUUCGAGCGUCAUUUCAACCCUCAAGCUCUGCUUGGUGUUGGGGCCCUACAGCUGAUGUAGGCCCUCAAAGGUAGUGGCGGACCCUCUCGGAGCCUCCUUUGCGUAGUAACUUUACGUCUCGCACUGGGAUCCGGAGGGACUCUUGCCGUAAAACCCCCAAUUUUCCAAAGGUUGACCUCGGAUCAGGUAGGAAUACCCGCUGAACUUAAGCAUAUCAAUAAAGCGGAAGAA